rnacentral:rRNA from 1 species
UUCCGGUUGAUCCUGCCGGAGGUCACUGCUAUCAGUGUUCGACUAAGCCAUGCAAGUCAAGUGUUCUUCGUGAACAUGGCGGACUGCUCAGUAACACGUGGAUAACCUGCCCUUAGGAUUGGCAUAACACCGGGAAACUGGUGAUAAUACCGAAUAGACCAUUUAUGCUGGAAUGCUUUUUGGUUCAAAGGCUUCGGCUGCCUAAGGAUGGAUCUGCGGCCUAUCAGGUAGUAGUGGGUGUAAUGUACCUACUAGCCUACGACGGGUACGGGUUGUGAGAGCAAGAGCCCGGAGAUGGAUUCUGAGACAUGAAUCCAGGCCCUACGGGGCGCAGCAGGCGCGAAAACUUUACAAUGCGGGAAACCGCGAUAAGGGGACACUGAGUGCCAGCAUAUUAUGUUGGCUGUCCACAUGUAUAAAAACCAUGUGUUAGCAAGGGCCGGGCAAGACCGGUGCCAGCCGCCGCGGUAACACCGGCGGCCCGAGUGGUGAUCACUUUUAUUGGGUCUAAAGGGUCCGUAGCCGGUUUGAUCAGUCCUCUGGGAAAUCUGACUGCUUAACUGUUAGGCUUCCAGGGGAUACUGUCAGACUUGGGACCGGGAGAGGUAAGAGGUACUACAGGGGUAGGAGUGAAAUCUUGUAAUCCCUGUGGGACCACCAGUGGCGAAGGCGUCUUACCAGAACGGGUCCGACGGUGAGGGACGAAAGCUGGGGGCACGAACCGGAUUAGAUACACGGGUAGUCCCAGCCGUAAACGAUGCUCGCUAGGUGUCAGGGACGGUGCGACCGUUUCUGGUGCCGCAGGGAAGCCGUGAAGCGAGCCACCUGGGAAGUACGGCCGCAAGGCUGAAACUUAAAGGAAUUGGCGGGGGAGCACUACAACGGGUGGAGCCUGCGGUUUAAUUGGAUUCAACGCCGGG